rnacentral:lncRNA from 1 species
AUGAACAUUUUCUCUUCAGUGUUGGCACAUAUCGGUACUGUAUCAAACCGAACUUACAUUGUGGACCGAUAAAAUUCGCACACUAUUCGGUUUAUACUUUUACUUGUCGAUACCGAUCUAAUUUUUAGUUAAUACCACAAAAACCACCAAAAAUUCUGAUCAACUCUACAAAAUAAUUUCGACCCCUUUUAACUUUUGCAGUCAAAAUUGCACCAUAACUUAUACAAAAGGGAUACCAUUAAAUAAUCACAAUCCAUACACACAUAUCUCUACAUAAGUAUCAACAACAAAUAAACAUAAACAUCAUAAAAAAAAAAAAAACACAAUCCCCAAGAAAAGUGUUCAAGUUUCAGAAGUAAUCCUUAAGGCCUUAAUCUUAAAGCGAUACCUAGGAGCCCGAGGAAUGGCCUGACUGGGACCAAACCCAAACUGACCGGUUCCAGUCAUCAUGGGCGGACCAUCAUCAUAAACAUGGCCGACAAGCGCCCCGCAACUAUUACAAACAAGUUUGGUUCGUUUCCUCUGAAUCCCCAGUAAUUAAGGGUCUCGAAAAAGGGGUUUGAUCUUGUCUUCUUUGACAAAUCGAAACUUAGAAGAAUCGAUGUCGGCAAACGAGAGGGUGUUCUUGUUGCCGGCCUCGAAGUAGUAAUCGGGUGGGAAGAGGUUGGAUGUGUGGAGGUUGAGAUUUGUGCCGCAAGUGGUGCAGGUGUAGAUCGAUGCCAUUGAUGAUCUGAUGAGAUUGGAAUGGGGGGUUUGAUUGAUUGUAUUUGAAGAUGGUAUCGUCAAUGACUUUUUGUAAUUUCUUGUGGGACGCGUUGAAGAAACUUCUUUGUUUCUAGAAUUUUAAUAUUUUUGUUAAAAUAAAAUAUGUUUUCUUUCUAGAGAAAUGCAAUGCAAAAUCACAUUUGUUAACCUUUUUUAUGGCUAAAAUUU